rnacentral:lncRNA from 1 species
CUGAGGUGGGAAUCAGCUCGGAGCAGGGCAGCUCUGGGGCGCCGCUGUUGGACGGCUGGGGGGAGGUCGUGGGGGUGCUGCACGGCGGUAACACCGUCGUUUCCUUCUUCGUUGGCCUGACGGAGAUCAGGCACACCCUCAUUGGCUGGGGUAAGACUGACUGACUGCCUAAUUUCCAUCUUUUUGACACAUGUUGUUGACUUUCUAAUGCUGCAUGAUGACUGCUGCUUGUGUCAAGUUUCUAAAAUGGAGUGUGUAUGCUUUUUUUGCAGGUCUCAUUUGAUGGUGGCGCCGAUUGACAUGCUGAGAGGACACGGUGAACUGACAAACAAAGAUCGAGCGUCGUGAUCGGGUCGAUUUUUUCUUCUCUCUCCGAUCAUACAUGAUGGCUGGCCUUUUUCCCUGCGGCCGGUGGCCCUCGACUCUCACUGAUCCUUCUUCUUUAGAAUUACUCUGUUUUCUGGCAUCUAUGCCUUGUUCGGAGUUUUGGUCAGAUGAGCAAUUUGUACAAACUAGGUCUUGUGCGUUUUAAUCUUGUCUAGGAACAUCAAGUUUGUUUGAUUGGGUACCUAAUCUCAGUCUCGUUAUGCAAACUUGCUUACAACCUUGGCUUGGAAUGAAAAAGUUGCUUUAAUACAAUGAUCAAUGGGUGCUUCAUCCACAUAUG